GGUUUGCGCAUUGUUGAAGGCUGUAUGGUGACAUACCGUUGUUAAUGUCUGUCUGUGUCAUUUUGGUCUCUUGUGGAGAGUAGUCUCAUUGGCAAUCAUACCACAUCUUCUUUUUUCAUAAUCAUUGAAAGCUAUGUUUGUUAUACUCAUUAUUGUCUUGUCUCUGAAAUUGUAUCAUUCCUAUUUCUAUUUUCCAUCUGUUUUUCU
rnacentral:lncRNA from 1 species